UCUUGCUCUGUUGACCAGACCGUGACCUCCUGGGUUCAAGCGAGGACUCAGCCUCCUGAGUAGCCAGGACUACAGGGUCUUGCUCUGUUGACCAGACCGUGACCUCCUGGGUUGAAGUGAGGACUCAGCCUCCUGAGUAGCCGGGACUACAGGGUCUUGCUCUGUUGACCAGACCGUGACCUCCUGGGUUCAAGCGAGGACUCAGCCUCCUGAGUAGCCGGGACUACAGGGUCUUGCUCUGUUGACCAGACCGUGACCUCCUGGGUUGAAGUGAGGACUCAGCCUCCUGAGUAGCCGGUACUACAGGUAUG